CUCUACUUUCCAUGCAUGCUCCUGUUUUCUCUACGCGCGGAGAGGCCACUGUGUGCGUAAAACCUGUUUUCUAAUUUGCGCUUGAGCCGCAGUAGUGACAGUUCAAACCCGGGUUAUUCUUCUUCACAUUUAGUUUCUCUUCCCGGUAAUUCAUCAUGUCAGAAACCCCUGUUGGAUAAUUAAAUCUCAGAGCCGGGACGGAUAUUUUGUGAGAGAAUAUUUCUAUAAUGUCCCUGUAAAUAUACUAUGGUGUACGGAUAGAGGUAAACGAACUCUCCUCAUUCAGUCAGAUUCAAUCCUUCAUUGGAUAACAAGCGACCGUCUAGAACUGUCAGCAUGAGUUACACAUCUACAGACUAAACAUUAAAGUGAAAAAACAAAGUUAAAAUACAACAAGUUUUAGUU